UCUGCGCCUGGCCCGGCGACUGCGGGCGCUGCGGUCCACUGGGUCCGCCUCUUCCCGGCAUGGGUUUCUGCCCAGCUCACCCGCUGUCAGCUGGGGUCCUGCUCUGGUGGGAGGAAGAGGCUCAGACGCUUCCCUGCCCUCUCGCCUCAACCACCUCGAGGCAGCGGCUCCCAGGAUGUGCACUUUGACGACUAAAGCUGAGCCGGCGCCGCCACGACCUUGGGCGGGUGGUCGGCCUCUGCCCUGAGCAGGAAGUAGAAAGUCUCAGCAGACCCUUCCUGAGGGCCGAGCAACAGUGUAGUGGCGUAUUCCACAUAGCAAACAGGGUGAAAAUGGAAAUUCACCUGUGGAACUCACUGGCCAUUGUGGAAGAAACAGUAAGAUGACCCUCCCUUCAUUAUGCUGGCCAAUAUGAUGUACACUAGAUUUUGAUGGCAUUUUUCCAGGGACCCUGGGAGCAUCUGUGUUCUCGUGUUCUUCUUGCCUGUGAGGCCUCUUCUCUCUGAGGACAGAUGGUAGGACAGAGAGAAGACAGCAAAUGGAAAACAAAGGCUGCUAUUUUUUUGUGGGAGAAAAAGUCAUGUGAUGACACACCAAGAAGGUGGCUGUCUGCAAGCCAGGAAGAGAGGCCUUACCAGAAACCAAUCCUGGUGCACCUUAAUCUCAAACUUGAGCCUCCAGGACUGUACGAAAAUAAAUAUUUGUUGUGUAAGCACCCCCAGUGUAUGCUAUUCUGUUAUGGCAGCCCUAGCACACUAAUAUAAAUGCCUACUGCCUGCAAAGUGCUUUGCCUUUGAGGGUUGCAAAAGAGGAUCCCCUCCAGGGAUCCAUGGUCUCAUUGGGAUUUUCCUGUUUGGUCUGUGUCCUGUUCUUGAGUCUCCGCAGGCAGCAUUUCUUCCUGUGACAAUAUGGUGUAAGACAAAAUUGUGGCCUGCCAUGAAGUUGUGAGAGAAAAGCAUCCCUCAUUUCUUCAGGAAAGGCCACUGCCGUUCCCUCCGGCUCCUCUUCUCAGGAGUUUGUGCAUUCAUGAGGUGAAUUCCUUGGAAGAUGAGGGCCAAGUCUUAUUCUUCUCAGUCUCUUCUGCAUCUAGCAGAAGAAUAAUGGUUGCACAGAAAAUCUUGGUUCAGUGGUUGAGUGAAUGAAUGGAUGAACAGGCUCUUGCACACAAAGAAGAGACAUGAUGUAUUUGCAUCCUUCCCUGCUUCAGCCAGGUCCCCAGACAGUCCCGGUGUGCACACUUCCCUGCUUCUGUUCAUGAUGUUCUCUGAACCUGGGAUCACCUUUCCCCUUCCUCUUACCUGCCCGAUCCUACUUGUCCUCCCAGAUUCAGUUUUCUGAAGCUCAGAGGGACACCUUGUAUUGCUGGAUGAUAAAAACAGGAGCAAAGUGAUGAAGUGCUGACAAGGCAACAAUAGAACAUGAGAGAUUCACUGCUGUGUAGGAAGAGAUCUUCGGUGACCAUGUAGCCUGAAGCUCUCAUUUUGUCAUCGAGGGACACCAAAACUCAGAACAGCAGCAGCUCACGCUGCUGAUGCAACACAGGUGAAGAGCACCUUCCCCUCCCCCACCUGUGGGCUGAUUCCCACCACGUGGAUCCCAAGGCCAUCCCAGGAACUCUUUGGAGGGGAGAAGCCCAGUGGAAACUGUCAGGCCUCUGAGCACAAGCCAAGCCAUCGCAUCCCCUGUGACUUGCACGUAUAUGCCCAGAUGGCCUGAAGUAACUGAAGAAUCACAAAAGAAGUGAAAAGGCCCUGCCCCACCUUAACUGAUGACAUUCCACCAUUGUGAUUUGUUCCUGCCCCACCUUCACUGAGUGAUUAACCCUGUGAAUUUCCUUCUCCUGGCUCAGAAGCUCCCCCACUGAGCACCUUGUGACCCCCGCCCCUGCCCACCAGAGAACAACCCCCUUUGACUGUAAUUUUCCAUUACCUUCCCAAAUCCUAUAAAACGGCCCCACCCCUAUCUCCCUUCGCUGACUCUCUUUUCGGACUCAGCCCGCCUGCACCCAGGUGAAAUAAACAGCCAUGUUGC
rnacentral:lncRNA from 1 species